UACGUAGGGGGCUAGCGUUGUUCGGAAUUACUGGGCGUAAAGGGCUCGUAGGCGGCCAACUAAGUCCGACGUGAAAUCCCCAGGCUUAACCUGGGAACUGCGUCGGAUACUGGAUGGCUGGAAUUCGGGAGAGGGAUGCAGAAUUCCAGGUGUAGCGGUGAAAUGCGUAGAUAUCUGGAGGAAUACCGGUGGCGAAGGCGGCAUCCUGGACCGACAUUGACGCUGAGGAGCGAAAGCUAGGGGAGCAAACGGG
rnacentral:rRNA from 1 species